CUACGGGAGGCAGCAGUGAGGAAUAUUGCACAAUGGGGGGAACCCUGAUGCAGCAACGCCGCGUGGAGGAUGACGCAUUUCGGUGUGUAAACUCCUUUUAUAUGUCAAGAAAAUGACGGUAGCAUAUGAAUAAGCACCGGCUAACUCCGUGCCAGCAGCCGCGGUAAUACGGAGGGUGCAAGCGUUACUCGGAAUCACUGGGCGUAAAGGACGCGUAGGCGGGUUGGAAAGUCAGGUGUGAAAUCCUACAGCUUAACUGUAGAACUGCACUUGAAACUUCGUAAUCUAGAGUAUGGGAGGGGGAGAUGGAAUUAGUGGUGUAGGGGUAAAAUCCGUAGAUAUCACUAGGAAUACCUAAAGCGAAGGCGAUCUCCUGGAACAUUACUGACGCUAAGGCGUGAAAGCGCGGGGAGCAAACAGGAUUAGAUACCCCGGUAGUC
rnacentral:rRNA from 1 species